CUCGCGUCCCUGCUGCACCCCGGGGCCCGGAUCCAGACGCUGAAACUCGGGUAUUUAUGGACCAAGCACUAUGGACUUCUGGGAAGAAAAAGGAUCAAAGUCAAUGUCAACCAAAUUCCAACACGUUGAUCUCGACAGGGCUGAGAGGAAGAAGGACAAGAGAAAUCCCUUGCAAGGACCUGGCUCCUUCCAUCCUUCCCGCCAACAUCCCCUGCUCACACAUACACAUACUCUUCCAGGUGGGAAAUCUUGCUAUUAAGAUGCUGAAGUGAUGGCGAAGAAUCUUUAUUUAGAUUUCCUGUUUCCAACUCAAGCCUUGUAACGUCCUUAACUCCCUGAAUACACCUUUCAGUUCGUGUUGAUCUUUCCCUUCUAUGAACUUUCUUUGAACUUGAAAUCAAUAGAAUGUAAUGACUUUCUAAGUGUUCUUCUGUAACGUGGUGUCCCCACAGCAAGAUUCAUUUGUUGCACAAAUGUUUAUUGAACACGUUCUUAUUUUUGUGCCAGAACAGUCCUAGGGGCUGUGGAUGAAAAGAAUGAAAGACAGGGUCACUGGACAGCUGCACGACUGGUGAGGAGGCACACAAAGGAACCCGUCUAUAGUGUUUGACUUAGUUGUGUAGGAAGUUUCACUGAAAGCACAGGGCAAGGAGCAGCUGUCUGUACACAGAGGAAUCAGGGAAGGCUUCUCAGAGGAGGUGACAUUUGACUUGAAGGAACUCGAAGGACAAGUAAGAGUUUUUAGAACAUUUUUUAAAAUUUAGUUCAUUUAUAUUGUCCACCUUCCAAAAUUGGACUUAAGGUAGCAUGUCAGGAGGAGUUGUGGGGACCAAUGUUUGAAAGAUUGCAUUAACAUCAAGGUCCAGCUCAAUAUCUGUGACAACAUUUGGCAUUGCUGAUGAGGGUACUAACUGGACAGUCACUCUUGCUGCCCUCAAGGCUUAUUCCUGAGAGCAAAACAGAAUAAAAAGAUAAGGCUCUCUGAUCUCAAGGAGUUUCAAAUCUCUCACUGUACUAUUUAAAUACCCUUCUUACAGGUCUCUUGUGUUUUAUCUUACUUUUUUCUAUUCCAAUGCAUCCCAAAUUUCAGUCAUUUGUGUCCCACCGUCACCAUUCUUACCAUAUCCGUGUAUCACCUGCACUAUUAUGUACUUAAUUGUUUCUUUAACUUGGCUCUCAUUUUGCUCAGCUUUAUUGAAAAGGAAUUUUUAUAUGAUUAUCAUCAAUGAAAAGCCAGUAUCACUUGCCACAAACAGAAGGUUAGCCACAAAAAUAAUACAAUGAAAAUGAAACCAUCUUAUCUAAUUCUUAGCUGGAUACUGUUGGCUCCUGAAAGUUCUGAGUUUGAGGUUCUGCUCUUUCUUUGAUACAAGGGAAGAUUAUCAAGCCUUAGAGGGGUAUUAAAGACACACAGGCAACAAACUGAUCAUUUCUUCUUGGCUAAAUCAAACAGACUGGAGGAGAAUUGAAAAAAGGAUAACUCUCUCACUCCGUGAGCCAAAGAAAUUUAAUGCCCUUUUGCAUAUCACUUAAAACCAGCUUCUGCAUCAAGUUAAAAUCAGCUCAUCCUGGGUACCACAUACUGGUAAACACUGCUCUGAUCCAUCCCUCUCAUAGCUAUCAGUGUGAACGAACAUGGAGAAGUUAUCAUUUCUCUCCUAGUCAAAAUCUUUCAACGGUUCUUCAUCACCUAAGGAUUCUUCGUUACCUUCCCACGCGAUACAAGAUCCUCCUGGACCUCCAUCCUCAACUUUUGCCAUCCUUCUCUUUAACUUUAUAUUCCAGCAAUGCUGAACUAUUUGUACUUCUGGAAUGUACCAUGUACCCUCAUGUCUCUGUGCCUUUGAACAUGCCGUUCCCUCUACCUGGCAUGCUGUUCCUCAACUACCCCACUCCCAAUUUAUUCAUUUCCCUUCUCUGCUCAUUUAUAUUUAUCUGCCUAGUGCCACACACACAUACACACACACACACACACGCACUCACACACCCCCCCCCCCAACUACAACAGCAUUCCUUCUGGAAACACCUGCCUGUUUCUUCCGGGGGAUCUUCCUUCAUUGCCUCAGCCAUGUCUUUCUGGUGGGGACUGACAAAUUCUUACACGACUCC
rnacentral:lncRNA from 1 species